UAGAUCUGGUUUCGUUUAAGUUACGCGGAAAUCUUUCGCCAUUUACUAAAGAUUUCUGUGGCGAGGAACAUCAAUGAGUUUGAUGUAUUUUUGUGAGCUUUGCACUGGCAAAGCU